GCGGCGUGCCUAACCCGUGCCAGUCGAACGGGGAUUAUCCGGAUGAAGUUUUCGGAUGGAUGAAAGAUAAUUCUAGUGGCGAACGGGUGAGUAACACGUGAACAACCUGCCCUGAAGUGGGGGAUAACACUUGGAAACAAGUGCUAAUACCGCAUAAGACCACGACCCGGCAUCGGGAUGAGGUCAAAGAUUUAUCGCUUUAGGAGGGGUUCGCGUCCCAUUAGGUAGAUGGCGGGGUAACGGCCCACCAUGCCAACGAUGGGUAGCCGAGCUGAGAGGCUGAUCGGCCACACUGGAACUGAGACACGGUCCAGACUCCUACGGGAGGCAGCAGUGGGGAAUAUUGGGCAAUGGGCGCAAGCCUGACCCAGCAACGCCGCGUGAGGGAAGAAGGUUUUCGGAUUGUAAACCUCUGUCGCAAGGGACGAAGAAGUGACGGUACCUUGUGAGGAAGCCCCGGCUAACUACGUGCCAGCAGCCGCGGUAACACGUAGGGGGCGAGCGUUGUUCGGAAUCAUUGGGCGUAAAGGGCGCGCAGGCGGCGUGUAAAGUCUGGCGUGGAAGUCCCCGGCUCAACUGGGGGAUUGCGUUGGAAACUGGCACGCUUGAGUACGACAGGGGAUGGCGGAAUUCCAGGUGUAGGGGUGAAAUCUGUAGAUAUCUGGAGGAACACCAAUGGCGAAGGCAGCCAUCUGGAUCAGUACUGACGCUGAGGCGCGAAGGUGCGGGGAGCAAACAGGGUUUAGAUACCCUGGUAGUCCGCACAGUAAACGAUGUGCACUAGGUGUCGGGCAGUCAAUGUUCGGUACCGCAGCAAACGCGUUAAGUGCACCGCCUGGGGAGUAUGCCCGCGAGGGUGAAACUCAAAGGAAUUGACGGGGGCCUGCACAAGCGGUGGAGCAUGUGGUUUAAUUCGAUGAUACGCGAGAAACCUUACCAGGACUUGACAUGGACAGGAAUGGUCGUGAAAGCGAUCAGCUUUUCGGAGUCUGUUCACAGGUGCUGCAUGGCUGUCGUCAGCUCGUGCUGUGAAGCGUUGGGUUAAGUCCCGCAACGAGCGCAACCCCUGCUGUCUGUUGCUACCAAGUUAAGUUGGGCACUCAGACGGGACCGCCGGUGACAAACCGGAGGAAGGUGGGGACGACGUCAAGUCAUCAUGGCCCUUAUGUCCUGGGCUACACACGUGCUACAAUGGCCGGUACAGAGCGCAGCGAAGCCGAGAGGCCAAGCGAAUCGCAAAAAGCCGGUCCCAGUACGGAUUGGAGUCUGCAACUCGACUCCAUGAAGUUGGAACCGCUAGUAAUCGCGCAUCAGCAUGGCGCGAUGAAUCAAUUCCCAGGCCUUGCACACACCGCCCGUCA
rnacentral:rRNA from 1 species